GUCCAUGGGGUCCCAAGAGUCGGACACGACUUAGAGACUAAAUCACCCCCAAAGCGGGCGUGAUGGCGGCAAUAACCAGGCUACACCACCAGGUGGCGACGGUGCUCCAACGUUAGCCUCCUCAAGCAUCUGCCUUCCAGCCGCUCUUCCCGGAAUCAGCGACUGGGAGGAGCUGCGGGUCUCCGGGAGCCCCCCACCGCUCCCUGGCUUCCAGCUGCAUUCAAGGCCGUCCUGCCUGCUCCAGUGCAGGCGAAACUGUGGCUCCCUUUUCAGGCUGCAAUUCCUAGCAGCCUAGUUUGAAAGUGUGUUUCGUGUACCACAAAGCAGGGGCACCAAAAGGGGAAACAAAAAGAGGAGGAUUCAGAAAGGGACCUGCUCCUGCUGCAGGAGAAGCAUCUCCAUCUUGGAGAUGUGCAUGGAGAUGGAGGACUCCUCCCGUAAUCAUCUGGAGGGCAACGACCCCAAGAAGGAGGUGGGCCACGGUUUCUGCUUCUCUUUUCACCAUUUGAGGGUUCCGCUCUUCCUCCGCAGCCACAGUGUUUUCCCGUCUAGCUCUCAGACAGCAUCAGCUAGACCUCCAGGAUCUUCAGACUCAACAAAAGCCAAGCCAGGAGGGUCACGCUUUGGAGUGGUCUAUAAUUAGCCAAAGUGAAAGUCAAUCGUGUCUGACUCUUUGUGACCCCAUGGACUGUACAGUCCAUGGAAUUCUCCAGGCCAGAAUACUGGAGUAGGUAGCCUUUCCCUUCUCCAGGGGAUCUUCCCAACCCAGGGAUUGAAGCCAGGUCUUCCACAUUGCAGGAGGAUUCUUUACCAGCUGAGCCCCAAGGGAAGCCCAUAAGAGCCAGAAGCUUGUUCCAAUUCGGUCUUGUUACCACUGUUUCCAAGAUUACCUGCAUUAACUUGACAGUCCAAUGGACCAGAAUCACGAAGUCCUUUGAGAUCUUGGGUUAAAAAUGGGGAGGUUCAAAUCCACACACCCUAGGCUGAGUCUUCCUGGUCCCCUCCCUCCUGGUACCCCUGGAUGCUCUCGCACCCCAGGCAUCCAUGAAAUUGGCUGCAGAGGUCUUACUUAAUAAAGAAUGGGCUUGGACAGCACCCCCAUCCCUCUGACCCAGGACUCCUCUCCCUUCCUUGAACCCCUGUUCUCACCUUUACUGACACCCCGAGGAAUGCCCUUCUUUUCCAGGGAAUUCAUUUAUUCUUGUAAAAAUGAAUAAUAUAAUUAUUGAAAUCUAAAACUCAAUUGAUGAGUUAAAUUACAGAUGAAUUAAAUUGCCCAACUGAAGAGACAAUGCACUGGAGAAAUAUGCCAGAAAAUUCUUUAGAAUGUAACAGUAAGACAGAUGUUUAUUGUACUUAUACUGAUGAGGAAAGUAGGAAAGAGGUAGAAAGAGAAAAGAUACAGAAUAUAAUGAAAAGGUCUCACUACAUCAAAUUUGAGUCCCCAAAGGAAAGAAUAGAGAAAAUGGAAGAAAUUUAAUUUUUAAAGGAAGAGUGCCUGAUGAAAAACUUGAAUCCACAAAAUCAAGAAAACCCAUGAAUCCUAAACAGAGUAAAUGAGAAGAAAGCCACAGCUGGGCACAUAAUGUGGGCAGAAUACCAAAGACGGAGGAUCUAGGGCUCAUUCUGGAUUGAAAGUCAGAGCACUUAACACAGGGACAAUUUAACAGCUGUUCACCAGCAACAAUGGGAGACUUAAGACCAGAGGAGGCUGUCCACAAAGUAUAGAUGGUCAAGUUGGAAUGUGUAACUGGCAAAACCACCUUGCAAGAAUGAGAGUGAAAGGAAGAGAAUCACAGAUAAACAAAAACAGUGAGUUCCCCACCAAGAAAACCGAACUAUAUGAACUUCUAAAGGAUACACUUCAAAAGCACGGGAAAGAAUCCCAGAAGGUCAGUAAUGCAACAGGGCCUGGGGACCAAGCACAGUGGUCAAUACACAGAUGUGAGUGUGGCAACAGGGUAGGUGGGCAUUGCUGGCUCACAUGCCCCCUCUAGACUGUGUGCUCCAGAGACCAGGGACCAUGAACGCAUCACAGACAGACUCUGAGAGUGCCCCACAGCCUCACAAGACUUCCACUCAGAACCUGCGCCACCCUGUUCCUUAGAGACUGUUAGGAGUGUUAUUUUCAGAGAGAAGACUAGUCAGGUUAACGAAGGUAGCUCUGACAUCUGUCUUUCAAUAUAUUCUUGUAAGUGGUGUGUUUCAUAUUAUUGCCAUCUUUGGUGUUUUUCAAAUACAAACCAAAAAAAGUGAUUUUUAUAUUGAAACCAAAAGCAAUGAAUCUUGAGAUCCAAUAGUCAUUUGAUGCUUAUAUUUAUAACAAACACCCAUGGCUUCAGGUUACAAAAAAACAAAGGCUUUGAGUUGGCUGCCAAAGCAAAGCCAUCCUCCUCAGUCUAGUUUUAGUGGUUUUUCUUAAAGACAUCUUGGGACUUUCCUGGUGGUCCAGUGUUUAAGAAUCCAUGCUUCCAGUGCAGGGGACCCAGAUUCGAUUCUUCUUUGGGAAACUAAGAUCCUCCAUGCUGCAUGACUUGGCAAAAAAAGAGACAAUUUCAUUAUUUUUGAAACUGGUUCACUGUAAAAAAUAAAAACAGGAUGGUAAUGCUGUUAAGUGUCAUUGUCCUUCCCACCCUUCUUCCUAAUCACACAUGUCCUUCUGAAGAGAGAGCCUCUGUUAAG